UAUCAACUGUUUAAAAGAUGGUUCUGCUAUCACUCUUGGGAUGGACCUGCGGGUGCAUUAGCUAGUUGGUAGGGGUAACGGGCCUACCAAGGCGAUGAUGCAUAGCCGAGUUGAGAGACUGAUCGGCCACAUUGGGACUGAGACACGGCCCAAACUCCUACGGGAGGCAGCAGUAGGGGAAUCUUCCACAAUGGACGCAAGUCUGAUGGAGCAAACGCCGCGUGAGUGAAGGUAAGGGUUUCGGCUCGUAAAGCUCUGUUGUUGGUGAAGAAGGACGAGGGGGUAGUAACUGACCUUUGUUUGACGGUAAUCAAUUAGAAAAGUCACGGGGCUAACUACGUGCCCAGCAGCCGCGGGUAAAU
rnacentral:rRNA from 1 species